AUUGAACGCUGGCGGCAUGCUUUACACAUGCAAGUCGAACGGUAACAGGCCGCAAGGUGCUGACGAGUGGCGAACGGGUGAGUAAUGCAUCGGAACGUGCCCAGUCGUGGGGGAUAACUACUCGAAAGAGUAGCUAAUACCGCAUACGAUCUAUGGAUGAAAGCGGGGGACCGCAAGGCCUCGCGCGAUUGGAGCGGCCGAUGUCAGAUUAGGUAGUUGGUGGGGUAAAGGCUCACCAAGCCAACGAUCUGUAGCUGGUCUGAGAGGACGACCAGCCACACUGGGACUGAGACACGGCCCAGACUCCUACGGGAGGCAGCAGUGGGGAAUUUUGGACAAUGGGCGCAAGCCUGAUCCAGCAAUGCCGCGUGCAGGAAGAAGGCCUUCGGGUUGUAAACUGCUUUUGUACGGAACGAAACGGCUCUGGUUAAUACCCGGGGCUAAUGACGGUUCCGUAAGAAUAAGCACCGGCUAACUACGUG
rnacentral:rRNA from 1 species